rnacentral:rRNA from 1 species
UACGUAGGGUGCGAGCGUUGUCCGGAAUUAUUGGGCGUAAAGAGCUCGUAGGCGGCUUGUCACGUCGGAUGUGAAAGCCCGAGGCUUAACCUCGGGUCUGCAUUCGAUACGGGCAGGCUAGAGUGUGGUAGGGGAGAUCGGAAUUCCUGGUGUAGCGGUGAAAUGCGCAGAUAUCAGGAGGAACACCGGUGGCGAAGGCGGAUCUCUGGGCCAUUACUGACGCUGAGGAGCGAAAGCGUGGGGAGCGAACAGG